UCCUGGCUCAGAUUGAACGCUGGCGGCACGCCUAACACAUGCAAGUCGAGCGGUAGCAGGACUAGUAGCAAUACUAGUUGCUGACGAGCGGCGGACGGGUGAGGAAUACGUAGGAAUCUACCCUCGAGCGGGGGAUAACUAAGGGAAACUUUAGCUAAUACCGCAUACACUCGAGAGAGGAAAGCUGCAGCAAUGUAGCACUCGAGGAGGAGCCUGCGUCCGAUUAGCUAGUUGGUAGGGUAAGAGCCUACCAAGGCGAUGAUCGGUAACUGGUCUGAGAGGACGACCAGUCACACUGGGACUGAGACACGGCCCAGACUCCUACGGGAGGCAGCAGUGGGGAAUAUUGGACAAUGGGGGCAACCCUGAUCCAGCGAUGCCGCGUGAGUGAAGAAGGCCUUCGGGUCGUAAAGCUCUUUAGGUUGGGAAGAAGGGUGAUAGAGGAAAUGCUAUCACUUUGACGGUACCGACAGAAUAAGCACCGGCAAACUCUGUGCCAGCAGCCGCGGUAAUACAGAGGGUGCGAGCGUUAAUCGGAAUUACUGGGCGUAAAGGGCGCGUAGGCGGUGAUAUGAGUGUGAUGUGAAAGCCCCGGGCUUAACCUGGGAAGUGCAUCGCAAACGAUAUGACUGGAGUAUAUGAGAGGGUGGCGGAAUUUCCGGUGUAGCGGUGAAAUGCGUAGAGAUCGGAAGGAACGUCAAUGGCGAAGGCAGCCACCUGGCAUAAUACUGACGCUGAGGCGCGAAAGCGUGGGGAGCGAACAGGAUUAGAUACCCUGGUAGUCCACCCUGUAAACGAUGAGGACUAAAUUGUUGCUAGGGGAACCUAUCGUAUUGAAGUUACGCGAUAAGUCUCCCCCUGGGAAGUCCGCCGCAAGGUGAAACCUAAAGGAAUGACGGAGUCCGUCCAAUCGUGGGAUCUUCGGUUACUUCACGCCU
rnacentral:rRNA from 1 species